AUGGCGAAGAGUGUGUGGUCUCUUGUGGAUGAGGAGCUGGUGGAACAUAUGAUAGCCUGUAAUCACACUGAUGCAAAGCUCUGGCUUAUGGAGCUUCAAGAUUCAAUGGGACAAGAAAUUUUUGUGAAGCUCAUUGUGACCCUUUGCUCCAUAUGGUGGGUGCGUAGGAAGGUUGUCCACGAAGAACAAUAUAGUUUCGUUUACCCCUCAAAAAGAAAAAGCUCUCGUGGCCCGUUUCCUCGAGCGCCGCCCAUCAAACGCAUCCAGAUUCUUGAGGCUGGGCCAAGUCCAAUCUGCAUAGAGGCCCAAAAAGAAGCAUAUAGAGGACAUAGCCAACCACGUCGACCCACAAGCUGCCGGCGACGAAAUCCCAAACUCGAUCCCGCGACCUACCGGCCGGCGACUCCCGCCGGCGCCCUUGGUACGAUGGCCGAAGACGAUGUUGACUGGACACAAAUCUUUGACAGGGUCAAAGGAUCCAUCUUCUCCAUCCGGUUCGUUCCGAAGCAAGACAAUCUUGAACAACUCCAAGUCUUGGCUGAUGGGGUGAAGACAGUUAAAGAUGAAGAGUUGCGGCGGAACAAGCUCAGGAAAGGACAUGCUUCAACUGGUUUCGUCUACUACUCUAGACCAACCGGCCUGCUAAUCAUGACUAGUGCACACGGUUUGAACCAUCUUUUCGACGCUUCUCGACCUUUGACACUAGAGACACUGGGCAUGAUGGAUAUAACUGUUCUAUGCGAUCAUCAAGAAGAAGUUAUUCAGGAAGCCAGAUUGGUUAAUGCUGUCAGGAAAUAUGCCACUGCAAGGGCAGAGGGGGUUAAUUCAAAUAAAGACACAAUUGUUCUCAGUGUUGACAGCAUCAACCUCAAGAAUUACUCGGAUGAUGGCGUAUGCGUCCAAGCACACCCUCCCAUUGACAUCUCUCCCAACACGCCAAUAGUUGGGAGGCAGUGCAUGAUGGUCUCUUGGCCGUCCAAUAUGCCCAGAAUGGUUUCCAUGGGUGAAAUUGUUUCUUCUAGGGGGAUUGGCAUGCAGAAUCCUUUUGGGUACAACAUGACCGUAUUGGAAGUCGAUAUGAGAACCGAGGAGAGUUCGUCCGGCGCGCCGCUUUUCAAUUCAAAUGUUUGGGCUUCUAUAUCCCCCGUCGAGACCAAGGCAAAAUCAUCAUGUCACCAUCAGCAAGGGGGCGCCGCGAGUGGCGGCGGCAGCGAAUCCAAUCUAGAUCUGCUGGUUUCAGGAGUCAACACUGAAGCAGGUGGGCACAACAACACUCAGCGACCGCCGUAUGCUCCUCGUCACUUCUUCCUUAGCCAGGACCACCAGGUUGGCCGCCCCCCUUUUCCACCUUCACGCCACCUCAAGCAUCACCACUGCCACCUCUUUGUCCAACACGGACCUUCCCUAGCUAUACAUGUACUUGGGCUGGCUCUUGGAUAUCACAUGGGCUGGGCCUGGCCGGGCACCAUCAGACUGCUAGGAGCUACAAAUAGCUGGAGGGGAAGCAACGACAGACCCAUCCAGUGGAUCACGGCACGAACCGGCGGCGGCUUCUUCCCCUUCCUCCUUCUUCCCCAAUUCUUGUAUCCAGAGACUCUCCGCCGCCUCCCCUUUCUUCUCCCCUCCUCCUCGCCGCCGCCUGAGGCCGCCCCCGGGCAAGCCUGGGGUGUCACCGAGGAAGGUGGCGGCGGGGCCCUGGCGCCCCUGCCUCUGCUGCGGGGGGACGUGUUCCCUAGGGCGGCGGCCCUGGUCGGAGAGGCGUCACCGGCCCGGCGGCAGGCGAUGGCGCGGGCGUGGGCCGGCGAUCCUGGCCGUGUGGAUGGCGGGUGCCCCGGUGGACGGGAGCCCUGGCAGCAGCUGCUGUGGCUCGCGGGUGGUGGAGGCGGGGAUUCGAAGACCGGGAGAAAUUCCAGGCCGGCCUCGUCGGUCUUGGCGGCGGCGACGCUCGUGGCGCCGUUCCCCUCCCUGGAGGCGCUGUUCAGGUCAGAUCCGACGCCCCCCAUCCCUCUAGUCUCCCGGGUGAAAACCUCAACUCUGUUGGGUGGCGGCGGCGCCCUCGGCGUCGCGUCCUUCCUGAAGGCGCCGUUUUUGGGAGCUAGGUGGGCAGUGGGCUUCUCGGCGAUGUGGUGGGUGUGCAGCGGCGGCAGUAGCUGGUCUUCUUUGUCGGCGGCGAGUUCUUCAGUGGCUCAACGCCUACAGGGACACUAUGCUACUGCUCCUCCGUCCGUUCCGUUCUGGCAGCUCUUUCUCAUCCGUGUCCAGUCCGGUGAACUGCUACACUGUCAACGGUUCGGCGCCUUCGAGCCAGGCGAGGAGACAGGGGUCUUCUUUGACAGUGGAGCUGGGAGGACAUGGCAAUCCGGGGCCGCUGGUGAUUUGGCGACGGCGUGCCCUUCCUCGCCAUCCGUAAUGCUGCUCCUGUUCUGA
rnacentral:rRNA from 1 species